UUAAGCGACUAAGCGUACACGGUGGAUGCCCUGGCAGUCAGAGGCGAUGAAGGACGUGCUAAUCUGCGAUAAGCGUCGGUAAGGUGAUAUGAACCGUUAUAACCGGCGAUUUCCGAAUGGGGAAACCCAGUGUGUUUCGACACACUAUCAUUAACUGAAUCCAUAGGUUAAUGAGGCGAACCGGGGGAACUGAAACAUCUAAGUACCCCGAGGAAAAGAAAUCAACCGAGAUUCCCCCAGUAGCGGCGAGCGAACGGGGAGGAGCCCAGAGCCUGAAUCAGUGUGUGUGUUAGUGGAAGCGUCUGGAAAGGCGCGCGAUACAGGGUGACAGCCCCGUACACAAAAAUGCACAUACUGUGAGCUCGAUGAGUAGGGCGGGACACGUGGUAUCCUGUCUGAAUAUGGGGGGACCAUCCUCCAAGGCUAAAUACUCCUGACUGACCGAUAGUGAACCAGUACCGUGAGGGAAAGGCGAAAAGAACCCCGGCGAGGGGAGUGAAAAAGAACCUGAAACCGUGUACGUACAAGCAGUGGGAGCACGCUUCGGCGUGUGACUGCGUACCUUUUGUAUAAUGGGUCAGCGACUUAUAUUCUGUAGCAAGGUUAACCGAAUAGGGGAGCCGAAGGGAAACCGAGUCUUAACUGGGCGUUAAGUUGCAGGGUAUAGACCCGAAACCCGGUGAUCUAGCCAUGGGCAGGUUGAAGGUUGGGUAACACUAACUGGAGGACCGAACCGACUAAUGUUGAAAAAUUAGCGGAUGACUUGUGGCUGGGGGUGAAAGGCCAAUCAAACCGGGAGAUAGCUGGUUCUCCCCGAAAGCUAUUUAGGUAGCGCCUCGUGAAUUCAUCUCCGGGGGUAGAGCACUGUUUCGGCAAGGGGGUCAUCCCGACUUACCAACCCGAUGCAAACUGCGAAUACCGGAGAAUGUUAUCACGGGAGACACACGGCGGGUGCUAACGUCCGUCGUGAAGAGGGAAACAACCCAGACCGCCAGCUAAGGUCCCAAAGUCAUGGUUAAGUGGGAAACGAUGUGGGAAGGCCCAGACAGCCAGGAUGUUGGCUUAGAAGCAGCCAUCAUUUAAAGAAAGCGUAAUAGCUCACUGGUCGAGUCGGCCUGCGCGGAAGAUGUAACGGGGCUAAACCAUGCACCGAAGCUGCGGCAGCGACGCUUAUGCGUUGUUGGGUAGGGGAGCGUUCUGUAAGCCUGCGAAGGUGUACUGUGAGGUAUGCUGGAGGUAUCAGAAGUGCGAAUGCUGACAUAAGUAACGAUAAAGCGGGUGAAAAGCCCGCUCGCCGGAAGACCAAGGGUUCCUGUCCAACGUUAAUCGGGGCAGGGUGAGUCGACCCCUAAGGCGAGGCCGAAAGGCGUAGUCGAUGGGAAACAGGUUAAUAUUCCUGUACUUGGUGUUACUGCGAAGGGGGGACGGAGAAGGCUAUGUUGGCCGGGCGACGGUUGUCCCGGUUUAAGCGUGUAGGCUGGUUUUCCAGGCAAAUCCGGAAAAUCAAGGCUGAGGCGUGAUGACGAGGCACUACGGUGCUGAAGUAACAAAUGCCCUGCUUCCAGGAAAAGCCUCUAAGCAUCAGGUAACAUCAAAUCGUACCCCAAACCGACACAGGUGGUCAGGUAGAGAAUACCAAGGCGCUUGAGAGAACUCGGGUGAAGGAACUAGGCAAAAUGGUGCCGUAACUUCGGGAGAAGGCACGCUGAUAUGUAGGUGAAGCGACUUGCUCGUGGAGCUGAAAUCAGUCGAAGAUACCAGCUGGCUGCAACUGUUUAUUAAAAACACAGCACUGUGCAAACACGAAAGUGGACGUAUACGGUGUGACGCCUGCCCGGUGCCGGAAGGUUAAUUGAUGGGGUUAGCGGUAACGCGAAGCUCUUGAUCGAAGCCCCGGUAAACGGCGGCCGUAACUAUAACGGUCCUAAGGUAGCGAAAUUCCUUGUCGGGUAAGUUCCGACCUGCACGAAUGGCGUAAUGAUGGCCAGGCUGUCUCCACCCGAGACUCAGUGAAAUUGAACUCGCUGUGAAGAUGCAGUGUACCCGCGGCAAGACGGAAAGACCCCGUGAACCUUUACUAUAGCUUGACACUGAACAUUGAGCCUUGAUGUGUAGGAUAGGUGGGAGGCUUUGAAGUGUGGACGCCAGUCUGCAUGGAGCCGACCUUGAAAUACCACCCUUUAAUGUUUGAUGUUCUAACGUUGGCCCCUAAUCGGGGUUGCGGACAGUGUCUGGUGGGUAGUUUGACUGGGGCGGUCUCCUCCUAAAGAGUAACGGAGGAGCACGAAGGUUGGCUAAUCCUGGUCGGACAUCAGGAGGUUAGUGCAAUGGCAUAAGCCAGCUUGACUGCGAGCGUGACGGCGCGAGCAGGUGCGAAAGCAGGUCAUAGUGAUCCGGUGGUUCUGAAUGGAAGGGCCAUCGCUCAACGGAUAAAAGGUACUCCGGGGAUAACAGGCUGAUACCGCCCAAGAGUUCAUAUCGACGGCGGUGUUUGGCACCUCGAUGUCGGCUCAUCACAUCCUGGGGCUGAAGUAGGUCCCAAGGGUAUGGCUGUUCGCCAUUUAAAGUGGUACGCGAGCUGGGUUUAGAACGUCGUGAGACAGUUCGGUCCCUAUCUGCCGUGGGCGCUGGAGAACUGAGGGGGGCUGCUCCUAGUACGAGAGGACCGGAGUGGACGCAUCACUGGUGUUCGGGUUGUCAUGCCAAUGGCACUGCCCGGUAGCUAAAUGCGGAAGAGAUAAGUGCUGAAAGCAUCUAAGCACGAAACUUGCCCCGAGAUGAGUUCUCCCUGACUCCUUGAGAGUCCUGAAGGAACGUUGAAGACGACGACGUUGAUAGGCCGGGUGUGUAAGCGCAGCGAUGCGUUGAGCUAACCGGUACUAAUGAACCGUGAGGCUUAACCUU
rnacentral:rRNA from 1 species